CAACUAUUCGAAGGCCCUGUUUGUCUUUUUUCAUAUUUUCUAUUUAAUUUGUUAAAUAUACAUUUGUUAAACGUCCCAUGGCAUGCUACUUUAUGGAUGCUUUAAUAUAUAUAUUAGUGGACCCCUAACACAGUAUUUGAAGAUGUUCCCGAAAUUCAGCCGUGGUGCAGAAUUACAGCCACUCGCACAUUGAGCUUUCCCCAAACGCGCUUUAAUGCAAAUGAGGAGGAGAGAGGCAGGUGAAGGAGGAGGAUGGGGGUGUGGCCCUGAGCAGCUGGUGGCCAUGGUACCAUGCGCUCUGUUUACAGUGGAUGUAUCGCAAUGGCGAGGCGCGCACAGCAUUUAGCCGUGUUCUGUAAAUAUUCUAGAACCCUACGGAUGCUCCGGCGGGAUUCCUGGAGCUCUAUAUCUCAAUAUAAUAAAUAUUAUAAUCUUUAAUAUUAUAAAUAGAUAUCUAUAUCAUAUAAUAUAUAUUAUCACAGCAAAAAGCUUUGUGCGCCUCCAGACGAUAAUAUGAAUCUCAAACGUCUGCGUCGGGUUCUCCGACGUCUCUGGUUCUUCCACUUCCACAUCAAUCUGAAGUAGACUGGACCGCGACAGGGAAGAGAAAGAGAUUGUUGCCCGCAAUUGUCUCUCGCCGGAGCCCAGCUGUCGAGGCCAGAGUUCCGGUUGUCCGGUAAUUACCGGUCUUUGACCGGAAAAAAAUGAGGAGGACCGAAAAUUCUAAACGUCUCCGGUCAGAAUGACCAAUUGGAAAUAAGGCCCCGUCCACACGGAGCCGAAACGGGCGAAAACAAUCCGCUAGCCUGUGUGAUAAAAUAAAUAAGUUGUUACAUUUCGUGCACUCGCUCAAAUUGAUCGCUAUAGACUACCGUAGGUUUAUGAACUAAACGGCGGCAAGCUAGCGAAAGCCGGAGGCAAGCUUUGCGGAGCACCGGUAUUUAACAACCA